rnacentral:rRNA from 1 species
GACGUAGGUGGCGAACGUUAUCCGGAAUUAUUGGGCGUAAAGGGUGCGUAGGUGGCCUGACAAGUUAUCAGUGGCAAAUCGAGGCUCAACCUCGUGGAAACUGGUAAUACUGUCCGGCUUGAGUGCAGGAGAGGUUAACGGAACUCUAUGUGGAGGGGUAAAAUCCAUAGAUAUAUAGAUGAACAUCAAUAAAGGCGAAGGCAGUUAACUAUUCUGUUACUGACACUGAGGCACGAAAGCGUGGGGAGCAAACAGG